GACGAACGCUGGCGGCGUGCCUAAUACAUGCAAGUCGAACGAGUGGCGGACGGGUGAGUAAUGUCUGGGAAUCUGCCCGAUAGAGGGGGAUAACUACUGGAAACGGUAGCUAAUACCGCAUACCAUCAGAUGUGCCCAGAUGGGAUUAGCUAGUAGGUGGGGUAAUGGCUCACCUAGGCGACGAUCCCUAGCUGGUCUGAGAGGAUGAACAGCCACACUGGAACUGAGACACGGUCCAGACUCCUACGGGAGGCAGCAGUGGGGAAUAUUGCACAAUGGGCGCAAGCCUGAUGCAGCCAUGCCGCGUGUAUGAAGAAGGCCUUAGGGUUGUAAAGUACUUUCAGCGGGGAGGCGUUACCGGCAGAAGAAGCACCGGCUAACUCCGUGCCAGCAGCCGCGGUAAUUC
rnacentral:rRNA from 1 species